UGGGGAAUUUUGGACAAUGGGGGCAACCCUGAUCCAGCCAUGCCGCGUGCGGGAAGAAGGCCUUCGGGUUGUAAACCGCUUUUGGCAGGAACGAAACGGUGCGGGCGAAUACCCUGUGCUAAUGACGGUACCUGCAGAAUAAGCACCGGCUAACUACGUGCCAGCAGCCGCGGUAAUACGUAGGGUGCGAGCGUUAAUCGGAAUUACUGGGCGUAAAGCGUGCGCAGGCGGUUGUGCAAGACAGGUGUGAAAUCCCCGGGCUUAACCUGGGAACUGCAUUUGUGACUGCACGGCUAGAGUUUGUCAGAGGGGGGUGGAAUUCCACGUGUAGCAGUGAAAUGCGUAGAUAUGUGGAAGAACACCGAUGGCGAAGGCAGCCCCCUGGGAUGAGACUGACGCUCAUGCACGAAAGCGUGGGGAGCAAACAGG
rnacentral:rRNA from 1 species